AGAGUUUGAUCCUGGCUCAGAACGAACGCUGGCGGCGUGCUUAACACAUGCAAGUCGAACGUGAUCCGGAGCUUGCUCCGGUGAAAGUGGCGCACGGGUGAGUAACGCGUGGAUAAUCUGCCCUGGUAUCUGGGAUAACAUCUCGAAAGGGGUGCUAAUACCGGAUAAGCCUACGGACUCUUCGGAGUCUGCAGGAAAAGGUGGCCUCUAUUUAUAAGCUACCGUAUCAGGAUGAGUCCGCGUACCAUUAGCUAGUUGGUGGGGUAAUGGCCCACCAAGGCUACGAUGGUUAGCUGGUCUGAGAGGAUGAUCAGCCACACUGGAACUGAGACACGGUCCAGACUCCUACGGGAGGCAGCAGUGGGGAAUUUUGCGCAAUGGGGGAAAGCCUGACGCAGCAACGCCGCGUGAGUGAUGAAGGCUUUCGGGUCGUAAAGCUCUGUCAAUGGGAAAGAAGUGUAUUGGAGCUAAUAUCUCCGAUACUUGACGGUACCCAUAAAGGAAGCACCGGCUAACUCCGUGCCAGCAGCCGCGGUAA
rnacentral:rRNA from 1 species